rnacentral:rRNA from 1 species
UACGUAGGGGGCUAGCGUUGUCCGGAAUCAUUGGGCGUAAAGAGCGUGUAGGCGGCUCGGUAAGUCCGCUGUGAAAGUCCAGGGCUCAACCCUGGAAUGCCAGUGGAAACUGUCGAGCUAGAGUCCGGAAGAGGCGAGUGGAAUUCCUGGUGUAGCGGUGAAAUGCGCAGAUAUCAGGAGGAACACCAAUGCGAAGGCAGCUCGCUGGGACGGUACUGACGCUGAGACGCGAAAGCUGGGGAGAAACAGG